rnacentral:lncRNA from 1 species
AAAAUUUAAUUAGAGAAAAACCAAAAACCCAACAACCAUCAGGCCCACGCACCCAACCAAUCUGGUAAACUCCGCCGGCAGCAACCUUCUCUCCUCCUUGCCGCCAGAGAUACUUCAGCAACCACAGCCACCAUUACCCUGCAGCAAUACAAAAUCAGCCGAAGAUGGCGAGGUAAGAAGACUGAAAAAUGAGUCCAAGAGACCCAAAACAGAAUCCAAGAGACCCAAAAAUCCGAGCGAGAGUGUCGUCUGAUCCUGUUAAAGUUGAAAACAAUGGCACAAGCAGAGACUCAUAUUCAGCCCCAGAUUCCAAUCCGUUGCUGCCAUGGCCGAUUGGAAAGAAGAGAGCCUUCUAAUCGCAAGCCUUGUGGUCGAUGCCUGAGCGACAAGUUAAAUACAAGAAACGUUCUGAUUUGCACUUGAAGGCCCCACCAACCAAUUCAACAAGAUGCUAAAUCUUCUUCAGUUUUUAUUUCUUAAAAAUUGAUAAUCGUUUUAGUUUCUUGUUUUGUAAAAGAUAUGUUGACUGGGGCGUGGUGGAGGGUGACGAGGUGGGGGAGGGAAUUGUGGCUGGGUGCUGCCGG